AUUGAACGCUGGCGGCAGGCCUAACACAUGCAAGUCGAGCGGAUGAAGGGAGCUUGCUCCUGGAUUCAGCGGCGGACGGGUGAGUAAUGCCUAGGAAUCUGCCUUGUAGUGGCGGAUAACGUCCGGAAACGGGCGCUAAUACCGCAUACGUCCUGAGGGGGAAAGUGGGUGAUCUUCGGACCUCACGCUAUCAGAUGAGCCUAGGUCGGAUUAGCUAGUUGGUGGGGUAACGGCCUUCCAAGGCUACGAUCCGUAACUGGUCUGAGAGGAUGACCAGUCACACUGGAAGUGAGAAACGGUACCGACUCCUACGGGAGGCAGCAGUGGGGACUAUUGCACAAUGGAGGAGAGGCUGAUACAGGAAUGCCGCGUGUGUGAUGAAGGUGUUCGGAUUGUAAAGCGAUGUAGGUUGGGGGGAAGGGCAGUAAGUUAAUACCUGACUAUUAUGACGGUACCGACAGAAUAAGCACCGGCUAACUUCGUG
rnacentral:rRNA from 1 species